GGGCUGGUAGUUCAGCGGUAGAACCUUGGCAUCAAGAUGCCAAGAUGCCGUGAAUGCGUGCCUCGCACGCACGAGGCCGGGGGUUCAAAUGCCAUCGCCAACCGACGAUGCUGGGGGUCCCCCCCAGUCCA
rnacentral:tRNA from 1 species